AUUGAACGCUGGCGGCAGGCCUAACACAUGCAAGUCGAGCGGUAGAGAGGUGCUCGCACCUCUUGAGAGCGGCGGACGGGUGAGUAAUGCCAAGGAAUCUGCCUGGUAGUGGGGGAUAACGCUCGGAAACGGACGCUAAUACCGCAUACGUCCUACGGGAGAAAGCAGGGGACCUUCGGGCCUUGCGCUAUCAGAUGAGCCUAGGUCGGAUUAGCUAGUUGCUGAGGUAAUGGCUCACCAAGGCGACGAUCCGUAACUGGUCUGAGAGGAUGGUCAGGCACACUGGAACUGAGACACGGUCCAGACUCCUACGGGAGGCAGCAGUGGGGAAUAUUGGACAAUGGGCGAAAGCCUGAUCCAGCCAUGCCGCGUGUGUGAAGAAGGUCUUCGGAUUGUAAAGCACUUUAAGUUGGGAGGAAGGGUCGUUACCUAAUACGUGACGAUUUUGACGUUACCGACAGAAUAAGCACCGGCUAACUCUGUGCCAGCCGCCGCUGUAAGAC
rnacentral:rRNA from 1 species